AAAAAUUAAUUUGUUAGAGAAAAUUAAAAUUAAGAAUUGUACAACCACAAUUAUUAAUUUUUAAUAAAUAAUAUUAACUUUUUAACUUUUUAAUUAAGUUUUUAGCUUAUUCUCGACUUGCCAAACUUCACCUUAGUCGGCAGAUCUGUUCAAAAUUUUACAGGGGGGAAAUUUCAUAUUGGCGGCUAAAUUUUUGCCCAAAUUUCUUUCUCUCUUGCUCUCCCUCUGUCUCUCUCUCUCGCACAGAAUCAAUCACUCGUACUACCCUCUCGGCUCCCUCGAAUCGAUUGUGAACCCGGUUCAACCCACCUUGGCCCCGGAGGACAUGGGAGCCGGACGCUUCACACUGAACAUUUCUAGGGUUAAUGGGUCGGUGGCGAUCGAUACAGGAAUCGUUCAAGCUUCGGCAACACAGACUGUGUUUGAUCGAAACCCAGUUGCAGUUUUGGGGUUUCGAGAGUUUUGUUCCUGUAUUACAAAUGCUUGGGUCAUGGCUAAAUGGAAAAUUAGGCCAAUGUGAAUCAAUCGCUACAAUUAUUGUCACUCAAAAGCAGCCGGAUCAUUCAAUCUACGCUCUACAUAAGGUACCGGAUUUGUAAAACAAGCGGUGGUCAGUCUCCAGGGUGGGGAAGAGAAGUAUCGAAAGGCAUGGGCACAAAUUUGCGAAAUCAGUCGAAGGGGAUAUCAAAGAGUUUAUCGAUGCCUAGGAAUUAAGAUAGAGGAGAAGAUGACUUUGGUGCGUGGACUUCCAGAGAUAUUUUGGUGUAUGGAGAAGAAAUUGUACUUUUGUAUAGAAGUAAUAUAAUACUUUUGUCGUCUCUGUCUUUUGUGCAGUUAACUAUUACUGAUACAUAGAACUUUUGGUAGCCAACAGAUAAUUACUAGCAUGGUAAAUAGAUCACCUUUCGUUGCUGUACAGAUAUAUGAUUUUUUGUCGUGGUACAUAGAUGUACUUUUGGCUUGGUACAUAAAUCACCUUUUGUCGUGGUACAGAUUACGAUGGGAAUUUGUACCAUGUCAAAUGGUCAUUUCACAUGGUAUAGUAAAUGUAAUUUUUGUAUAUGGAGGGCUUCACUUUUUGUAUGAUUCUAUAUUU